rnacentral:lncRNA from 1 species
AACUUUUUUAGCUCACCUGGCCCAAAGGGCCAAGUGAGCUUUUCCCAUCACUUUGCGUCCGGCGUCAUCCGGCGUCGUUGUUAACUUUUACAAAAAUCUUCUCCUCUGAAACUGCUGGGCCAAAUUAAACCAAACUUGUCCACAAUCAUCAUUGGGGUAUCUAGUUUAAAAACUGUGUCCGGUGACCCGGCCAACCAACCAAGAUGGCCGCCAUGGCUAAAAAUAGAACAUAGGGGUAAAAUGCAGUUUUUGGCUUAUAACUCAAAAAUCAAAGCAUUUAGAGCAAAUCUGACAUGGGGGGUAAUAUUGUUCAUCAGGUCAAGAUCUAUCUGCCCUGAAAUUUUCAGAUGAAUUGGACAUUUCGUUGUUGGGUUGCUGCCCCUGAAAUGGUAAUUUUAAGGAAAUUUUGCUGUUUUUGGUUAUUAUCUUGAAUAUUAUUAUAGAUAGAGAUAAACUGUAAACAGGAAUAAUGUUCAGCAAAGUAAGAUUUACAAAUAAGUCAGCAUGACGGAAAUGGUCAGUUGACCCCUUUAGGAGUUAUUGCCCUUUAUAGUCAAUUUUUAACCAUUUUUCGUAAAUCUUAGUAAUCUUUUACAAAAAUCUUCUCCUCUGAAACUACUGGGCCAAAUUGAACCAAACUUGGCCAUAAUCAUCAUUUGUGUAUCUAGUUUUAAAAAUGUGUCCGGUGACCCGCCCAACC